CAUUAGCUAGACGGCGGGGUAACGGCCCACCGUGGCGACGAUGUCUAGGGGUUCUGAGAGGAAGGUCCCCCACACUGGAACUGAGACACGGUCCAGACUCCUACGGGAGGCAGCAGUGAGGAAUAUUGGUCAAUGGGAGAGAUCCUGAACCAGCCAAGCCGCGUGAGGGAAGACGGCCCUAUGGGUUGUAAACCUCUUUUGUCGGAGAACAAAACCCGGGACGAGUCCCGGACUGCGUGUAUCCGAAGAAAAAGCAUCGGCUAACUCCGUGCCAGCAGCCGCGGUAAUACGGAGGAUGCGAGCGUUAUCCGGAUUUAUUGGGUUUAAAGGGUGCGUAGGCGGUCCGUUAAGUCAGCGGUAAAAUUGCGGGGCUCAACCCCGUCGAGCCGUUGAAACUGGCAGACUUGAGUUGGCGAGAAGUACGCGGAAUGCGCGGUGUAGCGGUGAAAUGCAUAGAUAUCGCGCAGAACUCCGAUUGCGAAGGCAGCGUACCGGCGCCAGACUGACGCUGAGGCACGAAAGCGUGGGGAUCGAACAGGAUUAGAUACCCUGGUAGUCCACGCAGUAAACGAUGAAUGCUGGUUGUCCGGGUCGAAUGAGACCUGGGCGGCGA
rnacentral:rRNA from 1 species